UGUUUAGGAUACCCGUUUAAGUGAGGAAAAGUUUUAUUAUAAAUACAUUUUCCUUGUUUUUCUUAUUUCCCCUAAACGUUUUUUUUCCGUUCCCCAAACCCGCGCCCCCUUUUUCCUCACCGAUCCGUGCCCUACGAGCGCCGCCGCCGGCCAACCGACGCCGCCGCCCUUUCUCCAUUGCCUCGGUCACCACAGCCGACAUCAGAACCCUAACGCCGAGCCUUCUUCGCUGCCCUAGCACCGACGCCCUGCCAAACAGCCAUUGUGCCCGAAGAUCUGCAACACCGACUGUCGCCUUGUUCCUUGCUUGAGCAGCCAGUGAUCGCCGGGAUUCUCCUCACUGGUGUCAUGCCGUAGAGCUGAUGCCACCACCGUCGUCAUCCCAGCAGCCGCGAGUCCUUCUGCCGGCGUCGCGUAGCCUUCUUCCCCUCCUCAGCCGCAGAUUCGACCCGACUUUGACCUUGCCAUUGAGUGUCCUAUUCUUCACCAACCACAGACCAGUGCCGAGCUAUAUGCUUGAUUUAUUGUGCCAAGCCGUGCCUAGCCGGACCUUGGAGGGAGUUUGGAUUGAAAAUUCACUGGCAUGUGAAAUGUGAAGGUUUUAGAUUUGAAUUGGAGAUUUUUGAUUCAAGGUUGGAAUUUCAGAUGUGAUUUGAGGUGCGGAUCGUCGAUGAUUUACAUUGAGGGCGGUAGCUUCGUGGUUGCUCCGACUAGGAUUUUCUGACCACCAUUUCUCUGACUGCGAGGUGAUAAAAGGAUACUCACUAUUGGGACCCUGAUUACGGGACGAUUGUUCUGAUGUGAGGAUUGUUUAUCACAGACUACAGUUAAAGGCGGGUACCUCUUGACUUAUCUUUUAUGAUAUUAUCAUUGGAUAUGCAUAGUAUUUUAUAACUACAAGCAAUGAAUAUGUUCGUCUUUGGUA